rnacentral:rRNA from 1 species
GGCGAGUGAGCGGCAAAAGCUCAAAUUUGAAAUCUGGCUCUUUCAGAAGUCCGAGUUGUAAUUUGAAGAAGGUAUCUUUGGGUCUGGCUCUUGUCUAUGUUUCUUGGAACAGAACGUCACAGAGGGUGAGAAUCCCGUGCGAUGAGAUGAUCCAGGCCUAUGUAAAGUUCCUUCGAAGAGUCGAGUUGUUUGGGAAUGCAGCUCUAAGUGGGUGGUAAAUUCCAUCUAAAGCUAAAUAUUGGCGAGAGACCGAUAGCGAACAAGUACAGUGAUGGAAAGAUGAAAAGAACUUUGAAAAGAGAGUGAAAAAGUACGUGAAAUUGUUGAAAGGGAAGGGCUUGAGAUCAGACUUGGUAUUUUGUAUGUUACUUCUUCGGGGGUGGCCUCUACAGUUUAUCGGGCCAGCAUCAGUUUGGGCGGUAGGAGAAUUGCGUUGGAAUGUGGCACGGCUUUGGUUGUGUGUUAUAGCCUUCGUCGAUACUGCCAGCCUAGACUGAGGACUGCGGUUUAUACCUAGGAUGUUGGCAUAAUGAUCUUAAGUCGCCCGUCUUG